rnacentral:tRNA from 1 species
CGGGGUGUAGCUCAGUCGGUUAGAGUACACGUCUGGGGGGCGUGUGUUUGCUGGUUCAAAUCCAGUCACCCCGA